GAUGAAUGCUGGCGGCGUGCCUAACACAUGCAAGUCGAGCGGCAGCGCGGGUAGUUUACUACCUAGCGGCGAGCGGCGGACGGCUGAGUAACGCGUGGGAACGUACCCCAAAGUGAGGAAUAACUGCCCGAAAGGGUGGCUAAUGCCGCAUAUGCUCUUCGGAGUAAAGCUUUAUGCGCUUUGGGAGCGGCCCGCGUCGGAUUAGGUUGUUGGUGAGGUAAUGGCUCACCAAGCCGACGAUCCGUAGCUGGUCUUAGAGGAUGAUCAGCCAGACUGGAACUGAGACACGGUCCAGACUCCUACGGGAGGCAGCAGUGAGGAAUCUUCCACAAUGGGCGAAAGCCUGAUGGAGCAACGCCGCGUGCAGGAUGAAGGCCUUCGGGUUGUAAACUGCUUUUAUAAGUGAAGAAUAUGACGGUAACUUAUGAAUAAGCACCGGCUAACUACGUGCCAGCCGCCGCUGUAA
rnacentral:rRNA from 1 species